UGCAGAUGAUGAUCACUUUUUGCUGUGAAAAAAAAAUGUGAUGACAACCACCAAGAUCGCUGAUGCA
rnacentral:snoRNA from 1 species